GUAGCUUGGGGGGGCAACCCCGCGCCGCCAUGGCGAUCGGCGAGCGGUUGGCGGCGCCGCCCCUGUGGCCCGUAGAGGCCCGGUUGGCGGCGCUGCUUCCCGACCUGCUGGUGUUCAGGAAGCCCCGGCGAUCGCAACCCGAGCUCGCCACGGCCCAGGGCGUCCUCCUUGGCGUCCACGUGACGGGGUUUACAGCAUUAAUGGAUAGGUUCAGCCUGACCUGCAAGUCGGAACAUGACAUGGACAAACUGGCCCACAUCUUCAGUUAUUACAUCAGUGACAUCGUGGAGCAUGUGCUGUGUUUUGGAGGAGAUAUCCUAAAUAUCACAGGGAAUGUGCUUCUGGCACUCUGGACAGUGAAACAGAAUCAACUCAGUGACAUCAUUACCCUGGUGGCAAAAUGCAGUCUGGAGAUACAGGAGAAAUUUGGGAUCUACCAUACCAGAGAAGGCCAGGACCUGCAGCUAAAGAUAGGUCUAUCUGCAGGUCGGAUUUCCCAGGUUAUUGUUGGAGAUGAGCAGCGACAGUACCUCUUGGUGAUUGGGCGGAAUGUGGAUGAUGUCCAGGUAGCUCAGCGUUUGGCUCAGGCAAAUGAGAUUGUCUUGUCCUGGAACUGCUGGAAGCUUUGUGAGCAGUACAUGUUUGAAGUGGAAAUCAUGAGGGAGGAUGAAGCUGUGAAGUUAAGAGAUAUGCGGAUCAUUGACCCAUUUGAUUUUGAUGAGCAUUUUGACAAGUGCCUUGAUUACCUGCCACAUUACCGGACAAGUGCUGAUACUCUAAGAACUGCCCUGGAGUUGGAUCCAGACUCUACGCUUGAACAAACCCUGCGGAAGCACAUAAUGAAAAACCUCUUGAAGAAGAUUGAUGAAGGGCAGCCUAUGGAGUAUAUAUCCGAAUUCCGUACCGUGACUAUGGUUUUGGUCAGCCUAGAGUUCCACAAGACAGCAUGGAUGUCGCAUUUGUGUCAUCUUAUCCAGGAGGCUGCCCUGUACAUCUCCACAGUCAUAGAGAAAGGGGGUGGCCAGCUAAGCCGGAUCUUUAUGUUUGAGAAAGGCUGCAUGUUCCUCUGUGUUUUUGGCCUUCCUGGGGAUAAGAAGCCAGAUGAGUGUGCACAUGCCCUGGAGAGCUCCUUCAGCAUCUUCAGCUUCUGCUGGGAGAAUCUUGCUGAGACCAAAUUUAACUUGAAACUAAUUUAUGCCUCGUUGUACCCUCUUUCUCCAUCCACAUAUCUUAUCCGUCACAUGAAAUUUUCACAUCAAGUGAAUUUUCACAUCAAGCUUGUUUCCAUCAGUAUUACCAACGGACCAGUAUUCUGUGGCGUGAUUGGGGCAGUAGCGAGACACGAAUAUACAGUUAUUGGCCCAAAGGUGAGCCUUGUGGCCAGAAUGAUAACUGCUUAUCCAGGUUUGGUGUCCUGUGAUGAGGUAACAUAUCUAAGAUCCAUGCUACCUGCUUACAACUUCAAGAAACUCCCAGAGAAGAUGAUGAAAAAUAUCUCCAACCCAGGGAAGAUGUAUGAAUACCUUGGCCAUAGGAGAUGUAUAAUGUUUGGGAGGAGACAUUUGGCCAGAGAGAGAAAUAAAAAUCACCCUUUGUUAGACCGGGAGAAAGAAUUAGAAGCCUUCCAAAUGGCACAGCGGGAAUGUUUGCACCAGAAGAAGGGACAAGCAGUUUUGUAUGAAGGUGGAAAAGGCUAUGGAAAAAGUCAGCUGUUGGCUGAAAUAAACUUCCUAGCCCAAAAGGAAGGACACAGGGUGUUACCAUUGAAGCUGAAGGAAGCAGAUUUCAAGCAGUGCUUCUAUGCCAUCCAGACCCUCAUGGCCAUCUUCUUUGAGAUUGAUGCAUGUCCAGCCUAUUACCGGCAAGAGUGCCUACACAAACAGCUCCGUGGGAUGGUGGAGGAACCUCUUCACUGCCUUUUUAAUGACCUCUUCUUUGUGAAGUUUCCCUUGUCCUUCAAAGUUUCGCACAUGGAUGACCUGACCAGACAAAAGAAGGUUAAGGCAUGUUUUUUUCAAGUGCUUCAGGAGGCAGUGAGGGAAACACCACUGAUUUUCCUCAUUGACGAAGCCCAAUAUAUGGAUGCAGCUUCCUGGGAAUUUUUGGAAACAUUACUCUCCACUGUGCCCAUCAUCAUGGUGAUGACAUUGACCUCUACCUUCACCCUGUGUGGCUGUGCCCAGCACUUCUUGCAGAGCUCUCAGGCUGUCCUUGUGCCCAUUUUGAAGUUGGCAACAACCUCACUGUUGCGAAUGGCAUGUUGGGAACUGGGGGUGGUGAGCAUCCCCCAAGAGCUGCAGAUCUACCUUCUCCACAGGUGCUUUGGAAACCCCCUCUACUGUGAGGUCUUAUGCCAGGACCUUCUCUCCAAAGAUGUAUUGCUCUUUCACGACCUCCAAAAGGAGGAGAAGAACAGCAAGUGGGAGACACUCUCAGCCAAUGCAAUGAAAUCUACAAUAUAUGGUAUUCUUCCUGCUGGCUCUGAAGAAGACCAGGAACUUUAUAUCUGCACAGUCAAGGAUGAUGUGAACUUGGAUACUGUGCUUCUCCCACCAUUAUUAAAAGAAAUAGCAGUAAACCAGUUGGAUCAAUUGAGCCUAGAGGAGCAGUUGCUGGUUAAGUGUGCUGCAGUCAUUGGUCACUCCUUCCACAUAGAUCUCCUGCAGCACCUCCUGCCUGGCUGGAAUAAAAACAAGCUACUUCAGGUGCUGAGGGCUCUUGUGGAUAUACAUGUGCUCUGCUGGUUCAGCAAGAGUCAAGAGCUUCCUGCCGAGUCAAUAUUAGUGCCUUCCUCUAUCAAGAUUAUUGAACAAACCAAAGAGCAGAAGAAGAAAAAGUCAGAUGCUGACUCUCCUCUCAGUCUGCAAGAGGAAUUAUCUCUACCUCAAACAGAGAUGCUAGAAUUUGGAGUGCCACUAUUACGGGAAGCUGCUUGGGAGCUGUGGCCCAAGGCACAGCAGAUAGCCCUGCACCUUGAAUGUGCCUGCUUUCUCCAAGAUUUGGCCUGCCGCUGUCAGAGCUGUCAUGGGGGGGACUUUGUCCCCUUCCACCGUUUUGCCAUCUGUUCUGCUAAGAGCUGCAGUGGGAUCUCCCGGUUCUGUAGUUACAAAGAUACUGGCUCAGUACUAACACAAGUGAUCACAGACAAAUUGCAGCUGCCUUCUCCCCAAGAUAGUUUUCAGUUCCAGACAAAACCAUUCAGAAGUCAGGAGGCCUUCACAAGUGAACACUGCAGAACAGAGGAAGAGUUCCUGGAUCAGGUGAACAGGAAGCUGGCUCAGACCAGCCCCGAGAAAGACAUGUUGACCACAAAGCCCUGUCACUGUGAGGAAAUCCUGCAGUUAGUGCUCUCACCCCUCACCCAGCACUGUCUGGUCAUCGGAGAAACCACAUGUGCAUUUUAUUACCUGCUGGAGGCUGCUGCAGCCUCCUUGGACCUGUCAGAUAAUUACAUGGCCUUCUUUUAUUUGAGGAAGGCAAGCAGUCUUCUGGGCCAGCCCUCAGCAUUCUCAUUUUUGAAAAAGCACAAAGUGAAGAUCUGUCAGUUUGAGGAAGCCAUUUUCUGCUGUCUUCGGUCAGAGGUCUGUUUCAACAUGGGACAGAUCACGUUGGCCAAAAAAUUGGCCAGGCAAGCCCUUCGACUGCUGAAAAGGAAUUUCCCUUGGACCUGGUUUGGUGUCUUUUUCCAAACAUUCCUGGAAAAAUAUUGGCCUUCCUGUUCCCUAAGCCAACCUCCAAACAACCCUAGUGAGAACAGUAAGAAGAAGUUGGCAGUCCUGCAGCAGCGGGUCCACUGCCUCUCCCUGCUCUGGCAGCUCUAUAACCUGGACAACACAGCCAGCAGCCGCAGGUUUGCCUGCCUCGCCACUCUCAUGCAGAAGAAUUCUGCUGAGGAGUUUGCAAAUGAAGCCCAGGUAAAACUGGCCUCAUAGAAUGAGUUCCUGCCUCUUCUAUUUUUUGGAAGGGUCUGUGAAAGAUUGGUUUUGAAACUCUUAAUGUUUGGUAGAAUUCACCAGUGAAACCAUCUGGGCCUGGGCUUCUCUUUCUGGAGCAAGGGAGCUACCAAUGGGGACUGGGAACAGGAGCCCGAGAAAGCCGGACAGUGUGUGAAGCUGGAAGUGAUGAGAGGGUGACCAACUGUCCCGUCUGCCUGGUGCUGUGAGUUUUCGUGGGGACAUGAGACUUUUGGUGCUACACUGGCGAAGUGUUGGGCAAACUGGACAGGUGGGUAAGCCUCGUGGGUGACAUGAAAGUGCUUAUAUCUGUCCUGCCAAUAUGCAUCAGGUUUUCUUCGAUUUCCUUACGAGAAAGCUAUUACACUAAUGGGCCGUGAAGAGGAGACCUGUCCUCAAUAUGUAACCAAGUGUCUAAAACAGGUACAGUCCACACCUUUGCAGGACAGAGGUGACCAGGCCUCAGGGAGGUGUCAGACUGUGGGCAUUAGAGAAGAGGAAGGAAGCCAGUGUUCAUCUGGGACCUGCUCUGCACCAAACAUCUGGCCUGGGACUUUCACUAAUGGUAUUUCUUUCAACCCCACAAAACCCCAGCAAAAACAGGGUUGAUUUGUUUGUUUGUUUGUUUUGUUUUUUAAUAGGUGAGGUUCAGAGGGGUUAAGGAACUUGCUUCAGGUUUCUGCGUAGGAGGCAAAUUUGGAGCUAAAUUACCUGACCCCCUUCAGUCCCGUGUGCGCCCCAGAGAGUCCAAGGCAGGGGAUCCCAGUGGCAAUCCAAACCCUGAGGGGACGUCAAAAUGUGGCAGAGGAAGAAAGACAAAAGGCCAAGCUCUCAAGAUCAGGCGAGCAGCAGGCACUCUCCAGUGACGCACACAGGGGACCGUCCCCUGCCAUCUUGUCGGCCUUGGUGCUAGCAGGUGGACAGGCUCACUCCUGGCUGCUAGACUGUGCCUCAGGUCUGCGGGAAGGAGACGGGGCCCAGAACCUGAUGAGGAAGGUUGACGUGCCGCUGAGUCCAAGGACCUGGGACACAUAGCCUGGACCAGCAUCCCGGAGCUGGGGACAGGGCUAGCGCAACAGCCUCUGUAGGGAGUGGGCAGGGCUGGGCUGGGCUGGCUCCGGGGAGUGAUGUGUAGACGUGAGGCUGGACACGAGAGCUCCAAACUCCAGGAGCCCACGCCCAUGGUAAGGGGCAAAGCCCUGGCCACACGGGCUCCUGGACUUCCACCUUGCCAAGGCCAAGGAUGGGAGUGCCUCAUUUCCUCCUCUUCCUGCAGGCCUCCCUGGGCAAGUCUCCAUCCCCUCCCUCUCACUCGUGGCUGCAAUGGUGUGUUGUGCUCGGGGGAGAGAUGAAGUUCCUGAGCCGCCCUGGCUGUCCCUCUGCCCCAGUCCUCGGGUCCCGAUAUCCUCGUGGUUCACUUCCUCACCUCCUCCCAGGGCUUCUCCAGCGGUUCCUUCUGAUGCCCUCUAGCAUGACAUCAUCCUGUCCCUUCUGCACUCCCAGUCUGCCUAGUCAUUUGCUCCUCAGCACUUUAUCUUUUUUUUUUAGAUUUUAUUUAUUUGUCAGAG